AGUGAACGCUGGCGGUAGGCCUAACACAUGCAAGUCGAACGGCAGCACAGUAAGAGCUUGCUCUUACGGGUGGCGAGUGGCGGACGGGUGAGGAAUACAUCGGAAUCUACUUUUUCGUGGGGGAUAACGUAGGGAAACUUACGCUAAUACCGCAUACGACCUACGGGUGAAAGCAGGGGACCUUCGGACCUUGCGCGAUUGAAUGAGCCGAUGUCGGAUUAGCUAGUUGGCGGGGUAAAGGCCCACCAAGGCGACGAUCCGUAGCUGGUCUGAGAGGAUGAUCAGCCACACUGGAACUGAGACACGGUCCAGACUCCUACGGGUGGCAGCAGUGGGGAAUAUUGGACAAUGGGCGCAAGCCUGAUCCAGCCAUACCGCGUGGGUGAAGAAGGCCUUCGGGUUGUAAAGCCCUUUUGUUGGGAAAGAAAAGCAGCAGGUUAAUACCCCGCUGUUCUGACGGUACCCAAAGAAUAAGCACCGGCUAACUUCGUG
rnacentral:rRNA from 1 species